CAGUGAAAGGCUGCCCCCAUGAUGGAGGCUCAUGAAUAGCGGAGGUCACAAGGGCCGCCGGCUUUCACACCCCCUCUGAUGUCUCCUAUCAAAUGAGGCAGGUCCACACAGCACGCCUGAUCAUUUCACCAGCCGCGUCUCAAUGGGCUCUGCAGGUCACUACUUCAGGUGCUGGACGUUUAAUCGGGCUUCUGGCUGUGCUGAUCAACAAUCACUGGCAGAUCUGCAUCGACCGAUUCACCAUGAUUGUAACUUGCCAUGCUGCCCCUGUUACAGAAAAUCCUGCUGUGAUGCAAUGUGUGUGAAAUGGAUAACAAGGAGAAUGUUAACAGGGAAUGCCCAUCGACAAAAUUCCUCCAUUUGGAACACCCUGCAACGAUGCUGCUACUGUGGAAACUCU